GGAGGGAUCAUUACACAAUAUGAAAGCGGGCUGGCAUCCUUCGGGGUUACAGCCUUGCUGAAUUAUUCACCCGUGUCUUUUGCGUACUUCUUGUUUCCUUGGUGGGUUCGCCCAUCAUAGGACAAACCAUAAACCUUUUGUAAUUGCAAUCAGCGUCAGUAAAAAAAUUAAUAAUUACAACUUUUAACAACGGAUCUCUUGGUUCUGGCAUCGAUGAAGAACGCAGCGAAAUGCGAUAAGUAGUGUGAAUUGCAGAAUUCAGUGAAUCAUCGAAUCUUUGAACGCACAUUGCGCCCUUUGGUAUUCCAAAGGGCAUGCCUGUUCGAGCGUCAUUUGUACCCUCAAGCUUUGCUUGGUGUUGGGCGUCUUGUCUCCAGUUCGCUGGAGACUCGCCUUAAAGUAAUUGGCAGCCGGCCUACUGGUUUCGGAGCGCAGCACAAGUCGCGCUCUCUUCCAGCCAAGGUCAGCAUCCACAAAGCCUUUUUUCAACUUUUGACCUCGGAUCAGGUAGGGAUACCCGCUGAACUUAAGCAUAUCAAUAAGCGGAGGAAAAGAAACCAACAGGGAUUGCCCUAGUAACGGCGAGUGAAGCGGCAACAGCUCAAAUUUGAAAUCUGGCUCUUUUAGAGUCCGAGUUGUAAUUUGCAGAGGGCGCUUUGGCUUUGGCAGCGGUCCAAGUUCCUUGGAACAGGACGUCACAGAGGGUGAGAAUCCCGUACGUGGUCGCUGGCUAUUGCCGUGUAAAGCCCCUUCGACGAGUCGAGUUGUUUGGGAAUGCAGCUCUAAAUGGGAGGUACAUUUCUUCUAAAGCUAAAUAUUGGCCAGAGACCGAUAGCGCACAAGUAGAGUGAUCGAAAGAUGAAAAGCACUUUGGAAAGAGAGUCAAACAGCACGUGAAAUUGUUAAAAGGGAAGCGCUUGCAGCCAGACUUGCUUACAGUUGCUCAUCCGGGCUUUUGCCCGGUGCACUCUUCUGUAGGCAGGCCAGCAUCAGUUUGGGCGGUAGGAUAAAGGUCUCUGUCACGUACCUCCUUUCGGGGAGGCCUUAUAGGGGAGACGACAUACUACCAGCCUGGACUGAGGUCCGCGCAUCUGCUAGGAUGCUGGCGUAAUGGCUGUAAGCGGCCCGUCUUGAAACACGGACCAAGGAGUCUAACAUCUAUGCGAGUGUUUGGGUGUCAAGCCCGAGCGCGUAAUGAAAGUGAACGGAGGUGGGAACCCGCAAGGGUGCACCAUCGACCGAUCCUGAUGUCUUCGGAAGGAUUUGAGUAAGAGCAUGGCUGUUGGGACCCGAAAGAUGGUGAACUAUGCUUGAAUAGGGUGAAGCCAGAGGAAACUCUGGUGGAGGCUCGCAGCGGUUCUGACGUGCAAAUCGAUCGUCAAAUUUGGGCAUAGGGGCGAAAGACUAAUCGAACUAUCUAGUAGCUGGUUCCUGC
rnacentral:misc_RNA from 1 species